rnacentral:rRNA from 1 species
GAUGAACGCUAGCGGUGUGCCUUAAGCAUGCAAGUCGAGCGGUCGCCUUUGGCGACAGCGGCGGACGGCUGAGUAACACGUAGGUAGCUACCCUUUAGUGGGGGAUAGCCUUGAGAAAUCAGGGAUAAUCCCGCAUAAUCCCCGUCUUUGGCGGGGGAAAGAGUUUAACUGCUCACUGAAGGAGGCGCCUGCGGCCUAUCAGCUUGUUGGUAGGGUAAUGGCCUACCAAGGCAAAAGACAGGUAGGGGGCGUGAGAGCGUGGCCCCCCAGAAUGGGACUGAGACACGGCCCAUACACCUACGGGUGGCAGCAACUGGGAAUCUUGCGCUAUGGGCGAAAGCCUGACGCAGCGACACCGCGUGAAGGAUGAAGGCCUUCGGGUUGUAAAGCACUUUUCGGGAGGAAGAGGAAGGACUGUACUCCCAGAAUAAAGCCUCGGCUAACUACGUG